rnacentral:rRNA from 1 species
CCUACGGGGGGCAGCAGUGGGGAAUAUUGCACAAUGGGGUAAACCCUGAUGCAGCAACGCCGCUUGAGCGAUGAAGGCCUUCGGGUCGUAAAGCUCUGUCCUAAGGGAAGAAUACUGACGGUACCUUAGUAGGAAGCCCCGGCUAACUACGUUCCAUCAGCCGCGGUAAUACGUAGGGGGCUGCCGUUAUCCGGCAUGACUGGGCGUCAGGGGUGCGUAGGCGGCCAUUCAAGUCCGAGGUGAAAGGCUAAAGCUCAACCGUAGUAAGCCUUUGAAACUGUAGGGCUUGAGUGCAGGAGAGGAGAGUGGAAUUCCCAGUGUAGCGGUGAAAUGCGGAGAUAUUGGGAGGAACACCAGUUGCGAAGGCGGCUCUCUGGACUGUAACUGACGCUGAGGCAAGAAAGCGGGGGGAGCGAACAGGAUUAGAUACCCUGGUAGUC